rnacentral:misc_RNA from 1 species
GGAUGUCUUUUGAGGGGAUAAUUUUCAAGUAUAAAUACUGCUGAAAAUGAAAUUUGUCCACACUGAUUUAGCAGUCACCACGUGUUCAUGCACGCCUUUAUCAAUGACGGUGAGCAAAGCACGAUAGGCGAUAGACAAAUCGUAAAUGUAGGAAACGUGGUAUGAAAAAGUUUAUUAUCUUCCCUACAGAUAAAUCAAAAAAGAGGGAGGACCGGUCUAGACUGCACAUUUUUAAUAAUUAAGGUCAAUGCGUGAAAGGUGGGUUUGAUGGUUGAUUGGAUAAAUCAAAUGUUAUUUCGGACAAAAACGUUAGUGCGGAAUAUCUAUUUGAUUAAAAAUGCACGAGGAGUAACCAUAUCGCACAACGUGUGACCUGUUGGAAAAAGGGGUGAAAAUUGGUAAAUCCGCUGGAAAUAGAUAAGCUUGGAUUUCUUCGUGUGAUGCCGUUUUUUUCAUCUACUCCACUAUCAUGCGGAAGGAUUGCGCACUUGUUCAGUUGCGUGUUUUUGCUUAACGAUAGAAAAAACUCGUGUACCUCCAUUUAGGACUUUUGUGCCACCACAUCGCAUGGUUGAAGUGGAAAGUCGUACUUGACCGAAAAAGUGGGGAUGAAAUUGGGUACCAAGUGGGGUGCAUGGAAUUAAAUGGUCAAGAGCACAACGUGCAGAGCAUAUGGAAAAAACGAGUAGCACGUUAUAGUGCCAAAAAUAGAAGUUUCACUACAGGAGUGAGAAUGAGAGUGAGGAGAGGUAUAGAAAGAAUGUGAGACAAUAUAGUUAGUAUAUGUGAAAGUGAGAGUAAAAGGUAUAAGUGUUACUAUAUGAGUAUGGAUGAGGAUGAGGGAAAAGGUAGAAAAGAGAUGACUGUCUAUGUAUUGUCAUACAUAUUGUUAUUUACAAACACAUCCUCUACGUUUCUUAUUCUCUCACGACGACAUACAGGUGAACGAAGUUUUUCAAUAAUUUUAGAGGUUUGAGGGUUGAGUUGUAUUCAUUGCUUACUUGUAGUUUGCUCAUUAAUAAUAAUUACAUAUUUGUUAGAUUCUUAAUACUUUGCAUAUUUAUUAAAUUUAUGUAAUCGUUUGAUGAGUGUUACAUUGUUGUUUUUAUUUAUUUAUUUAACCGUUGAAUUCAUUCCUUCUUCUCGACAUCGGCCUUUACACCACGUUCGCGUGUCUCUUCUCUCUUGUUUCCUUCCCCGGGUAUUCCGCGAUUAGCGCUGGCGAUUCACCAAGGUAAAACUAUGUAUGCGAAUGGUGAGUGGUCUGCUGUAGCACGGUGUGUGCACGAGGAAACAAGGUCUUCUCUUUAAGAACCUCGAACCCGGUAAACAUCGUGGGUGGCAGAGAUAGUAAAAGCGACUAGUUCGCCUACCCCCACAUGAAUUGUCGCAAAGAUGAUGAGGGACGACAACAAGUAGGUAAGGUAAAGUAAAGUAAGAAAGGAAGAAUAGUGAUAGCAUUAAUAGUAGUGGGUAUAACUGUCACGGAAAUGAACAUAUCACACUCCAAAACGGACUUGUUGGUGUAUGAGCAAUUUUUCGCACCCAUUUUCCCUCAUUUUGCCAAAUGAAACCAUAAUGCUGCAAGAUUGCUGAAAGUAUCGGGAAAGCCUAGUAAGAAAUGGUCCAACUCGUUAUGCAGCGAUACCCUACCCUCCGUCAAGCAAACGAGAUGGUUGUGUAAGGCGAGGCACAAGACUUCAAAAAGUAUGCAAAUUAGCAACAGAUAGUAUACCCUAAAUUCCAAACGAUAUCUUCUAUCACAGAAUCAGAUUUCUUAUA